rnacentral:rRNA from 1 species
GUCUGUGGCCAUACCACCCUGAGCACACCGAUCUCGUCUGAUCUCGGAAGCUAAGCAGGGUCGGGCCUGGUUAGUACUUGGAUGGGGGACACCUGGGUGCGGAGGGAGGGCAGGGUCA